ACUAGUGAAUCCCAUUGGAUUAUGCAAUGGAGUUGCAGAGCCUUUUCUUUGUGAGGCUUUGACUGAAGAAUUUGCUAGCUCGCGUGGGUCACGCAUAGAAAGUGCUUGUUUUGUAUUGAUUAGUGGGAUUUGUGGAGAGAGAGUGUUAUUCUUAUCUUCAUCUUGUUGCUCUCGUGAGGAGAAGACUGAAUUGUUAUUGGCUGGCCAAAUUUGAAGAGAGAGAGGACGUUAUCUGUAGUACUAUCCUUUGAAAGGACUUUGGUUUGUAACUCAGUGUUGCCUUUCGACCCUACUUCUCCCUCCGGUAAACUCAUAUUAGUUUCCUUUUCUAAAAAUCCUUUUUCUGCUUCACUAACUUGUCUUGCCUAAGUUGACUGCCUUCCUUGUUGAGCCAGAGUCUCUCGUGUCUGAGUGUGAGAUCUAUGUGUCUGAACUAGAGGCAGUCCCAGUGAGCGAUGUCUUAGCCAGCCCCUCUAGCGGAAUGUCUUCUCCUUUUCUCAUAUCAGAUCAACCGAAGGUAACCCAACCUAUUUGAUACACAGCUACUUGUCCCCAACGCAAUGGUCGCGACAAAGAAACACGAUCUGUGAAUGUGGCCCAUCACUUAACUGAGCAUUCCAGGCUAACUAUGGAGGAAGGAGCUCGAGGGUCUGUAGGUGAAUUAGAAGGUAACGUUCGAAUUCUACCCUCCUUUGAGGCCAUAAGACAUUUUCUGUGGAGAAUAGCCUGUCGGAGAAACAAUCAUAUGCGAACAGUGUUGUAGAGAAUUUUUUCGAUGGUCAACCUUGAGGCUGCAGGUAGGAUAAGUUUUGUAGGAUGGCAGUGUUAUGCCCUGAAUCUCAUGGAGCCUUGAGAGAAGUGUAGAAUGCCCUGACCCAACAAGAUGAGUUUCUAACAAACUCCCUCUACAAUAUGAAAAGUCUUGUAGUGAUGUAGCUGUUGAAUCGAUUAUGAUGUGUCUGAAUUGUGUCAUUGCUAAUGACGCACACAAAAUGCAAAUUGGAACAAGGACUGUUCGGGAAAGAACGCCAUCUUCCUGUGCAGAUGCUUGAGUCUCAAGAAGAGACCCAUCAAUAGUUGUAGAACAAGUGGGAAUCAAUGAGGGUGAACACAUAUGUUCCAGCCAUAACGACACCAAGUUGAGUUCUGAUAAGGUGACACCACUGUUGUACUGGUCAUUGGAUAUUUGGUAGUUAAGAUGCAGACCCGGCAACGUGAAGAAUAUAGGUGUGAUUGCCCAUGGUGGUUUCCAAUCAGAUCGAUCCUAGGCAAAUAACAAGUCACACUUAGCUAGCACUGGAUAUUUGAAAUAAUAAAGGUUGUGUGCAGACUUAGAAACAAUGUCAGAUGAUGUGAAAAUGAGAACAUGGAAUAUGCUGGGGAAAAUGAGCAGGAGGAGGUUGUGGGUAAUACGAUUGAUGAAGUGGGUAGUAGUUGUACUGUGGAGAUGGAGUGCCCAUGGGUGGAUCAUGGUGGAGGUAUGAGAACAUGGCAAUGAAAGCACCAAUUGAUAGGAAGCUAGUUCCUAUCAAGUAAGAACAUAAGAACCCUAAAAUAUAAACUAAGAAAAAUAUAGAAAAUAAAGCCUUGAUCAAUUUUCUUGUUACCAUAAAGGGAAAUACAUACUUAUAUUAGGAGAGUAAUUUCUAAAGUAACGAUAACCUUACAAGUGGCUAAAUGCUCUUAAUUGGAACAUUCUAGAAUAUUAACUAAUACAUCAAACAAAAUACUAAUUCCACUAAACUUCAUCAGUAUACGUUUGGGCUUGUGGUGGUAGAAGAGGAUGGCCCAAUAGUGCUAUCAAUUUUCCUUGUGUGUGGUUUGGAAACAGAAACUAAUUUUCAUGCCUUGUUCUCGUGUGCUGAAGCUAGAGGAAUUUGGUUUGCAUACCAACUUUCAAUUCGUGUUCCCAUGUCUCCUCCUGAUUCUUUUCGUUCUUGGAUGGAAUGAAAGACCUGUUGUGUUGUGAUGACCCUUGAGUAAUUAGCAACGUUGCUGCCACUGUUUGGGCAAUAUGGAUGAGAAGAAAUAGAAAGCAUUUUUAGGGAUAUUUGCUCUCUGUCUAGCAUACUCUAAAUCUAGCUUUAUCAAUGAAGGAUGCUGAUCACACUGUAUCUCUUACUAGUUCUGCAGCAGAUAUGAGGACGAAUAUGUGAUUUUAAUGUUGUUGCAAGAUCAGAGGAAAGAAUGGGAAUCUCAGAUUCUAUAUAUGGCAGAAGUGAUAUGGCUGAUUUUAAGGCAUUUCUCUCCAAUUUAUCACUAAUUGAACCUCCUGCUGUGGGUAAAAAAUACACUUGGUUCCGCCCCAACGGACAGGCAGCAAGCAGAUUAGAUAGAUUCCUGCUAUCUAGUGACUGGUGCUCUUGUUGGCCUCAUGGUGUUCAAACUGUUAUGGCUAGAAGUUUGUCAGAUCACUGCCCUGUUAUGUUUCGAAGCACUGAUAUGAAUUGGGGGCCGAGACCCUUCCGUGUGCUGAACUGCUGGUUCUCUGAUCCAGGUUUCAAGGCUUUUGUUGAAAAGGAGUGGCAAGGAUUCCAAGUUCAAGGUUCAGGAGGAUUCCAAGUUCAAGGUUCAGGGGGGUGACACCUUGAUAUGUAUUGUGUAUGCUUGUCUUUUUUUACUUGUUUUGUGAUUUUUGCUUUUUUCUCUCCUCACAUAGUGUUUGAUACCUGCAGCCAAAAAUCUUCUGAUAUCAUUUUUCUCAUAAAAAAGGAUAAUAUUUCCCGGCUGUCCAACACUCUUUUCUGCAAGGU